rnacentral:rRNA from 1 species
UACGUAGGGUGCAAGCGUUAAUCGGAAUUACUGGGCGUAAAGCGUGCGCAGGCGGUUAUGUAAGACAGGUGUGAAAUCCCCGGGCUUAACCUGGGAACUGCAUUUGUGACUGCAUAGCUAGAGUACGGUAGAGGGGGAUGGAAUUCCGCGUGUAGCAGUGAAAUGCGUAGAUAUGCGGAGGAACACCGAUGGCGAAGGCAGGUAACUGGGGCUGUGCCGACGCUGAGACACGAAAGCCAGGGGAGCGAACGGG